CUUCGACAACGUCUAUGCUGUUCUCUCUGGAACAUAAUUUGCACUUUAUCAACAAGUUAGUUUCCGACCUAUUGUGCUUUUGUGGUAUUUUUUCAGCUUCGGUGAGAUCGUGGAACUUUUCUGUCACUUCGCCGCAACUCCCACACUUAAGUUUUAGGAACCAUUGGUAGUACGGGUGGUUUGUGUAUAGCUUGUCGAUGGAUUCUAAGGUUGCUUUGAUUUGCAGAGCGAUUUUAACCAUCUUUCUUUCGUAAUAUAUGUAUUUUGUUGGAAAAACAACACCGAGAUUCGGGAAAUCGAAAUCGGCCGAACGUCAAUGUCAGACGGUGACAAUGACAACUGUCACCCGUGAAACUGUCAAUAUUGUUUCAAAGUCAAAGUCAAAGUCAAAGUCAAAUCAUUUAUUUCAUUUAGGCCUUUACAAGCACUUAUGAACGUCAAAAUUAUAACUAAGUUUGAUUCUAGUUGCCCAUUCCAAAAGUAGCUUCCUAUGGAGAAGAACGGGCAAGAAACUCCAUGGUUACUCUUUUUAAAAAUAAUAUAGUAUUACAGUUUGUAUGUAUUGAUACAUACAGUAAAAGCAUGCGAAGAUCAUGUAGAAUCGCAAAGACAAAUGAGGAUAAAGUGACAAUUAAAAUGCUACAUGGUGUUCACAUUUACAAAUUGGUUUAUAUUUUGGUACAAAGUUACAAACAAAUAAUCAAAAGAUGAAUACAAUUUUAUUUGCUGGUGUAGUUUUAAUUUGUUAAUUAAUUAGAUAUUGUCAGUAUGUCCUAUGGAGCAGGACCAGCAUGUUUCCAAGCAUUUUUAUCUUGAAUGUAAUCUUCUAAUUUAUAAUAUGCUUGCUUACAAAGUGUGGCUUUUAUAUGAGUUUUAAACCGCAAGUCAUUCAAUUCCAGAAUGUUGUCUGGUAUUUUAUUAUAACAUUUGACACAAUAUCCCAUGAAAGAUGUAUGUACUUUAGAUAAUCUAAACUGCGGGAUAGCUAACUUAUUUUUAUUUCUAGUGUUAUAAUUAUGUCUAUCACAUAUUUUAUCAAACAAAUGUAAGUUUUUCCUAACAUACAUGAUAUUUUCAUAAAUAAAUUGGCAAGGUACGGUCAUGA